GACCUUCUUGAAAUAGGGGACAGAAAGACUGUAAGAGCCAGGGGUCAGAGAGGACCAAGCAAAUCAGUGAAUUCCAAGCCCUACAAGACCACUGCACUCAAGAAUUGAUAGCAGUUGUGGAUAGCUAGACUAGACUUGAACAAGAUCAAGCUAGUCAACGGGCUAGCAUGGAACAAAGAGGAAGAUCCCCUACCUAAGGAGCUAUGGACAGCUGAUGGCUUCUGGGUGAUGGAGUGUCAGCGUUCUUGUGGUAGGUCAUCCACCUUUCAAUGAAUAGCUCUACAACCAGGAGUAUAUGGGCAGCACAAACUGGUCUCAUGAGUUAUUUUAAAAGUAAAACAGAAAAAGAGGACAUGAAGUUGGGAUGGAUCUUGGAGGAGUUAAGGAGAGAAGAGAAGGCUCAAUACAACAAAAACACAUAAUACAGAAUUCCCAAAGAAUUUAAAGUAUUAAAGAAAACUUCAGGCCAAUAACAAUGCUAUGAAAACAUGGGAAAAUAUACUUUUUACAUCAUACACAUAACUGGUCUUCUCUGAAAAGAGUCUAUGUGAUGUCUUUCCCUGGCAUUCACUCAUUGACCACAUCUUGAAUGCUCUGCCAACAGGUAUGUAGCAGGAGACAAGGAGAAAGGAAGAGCAGUUCAAAACCAGGGAGUCCCCAUUACACGUUAUUCUACCAGAGGAGCUUCAACCAAUGAAGCGCCUGCUGUGCAAGCAUGAUGACGUGAGUCAGAAUCCAUACACAGACAGGAGGAAGUCCAGGCAUGGCUGUGGGCAUCUGUAUCUCUAGACUUGUGGAAAUGGAUAUAGACAGGACAAUGCCAGCGCUUGCUGGCCAGCCAGUCCACAUGAUUUUGAGCACAGGGUUCAGUGAGAGACCCUGUUUCAAAAAAUAAGGUAGAGAGUGGUCACGGAAGAUACCUGACACCAUCCUUCAGCCUCCACAAACACAUGCACAUGUACACACACACACAGACUGACAGACAGACAGACAGACAGACACACACACACACACACACACACAUGUUAUCGUGUUAUAAGGAGAAAAGCCAUACAUAUAUAAGAUACAAUAGAUAGGAAAUUUAAAGACUUGUAGCACUUUAUGGUAAAUGUGUCAAAGUGGGAAGCUGUGACUUCUGAGAGAAAAUUAUUUCUAUCGGGUUUUGCUUGCCAGUUAUACUCAGUAAAAACUGGCUGACAGAACCUGGGGAGGGGUACGCUGGUACAAGGCAGCCUGGAAAGAGACACUCAAGCCUGGACCAGAGACAUCCCAGUUUUGCCACUUGAAUUGCUAAUCACAUUUUAUAGCAGCCAUUUAAUUUUAAUUUUUUCUUCAGUCAUAUUAAAUAAAACUGUUAACAAGUUACCAAUUAGGUAACAUAAAAGCAUUAUUGGGCCUAACCUCCUCAACCAUUCAAUGUUCAAAAGAUAAAAAUUAAAAUUACAUUAACAAUUUUUUUCAAGUUAUGCUGCAGAAAUAUGAAAUCAUGGUAAAAUUCUCCUUGGGUCAGAAAGCAGUAAAUUGUGACAGAAUAGGGAUGUUUUCCCUGCAAUCUCACUAAAGGAGACUAAGACAUUGCUGUAUUUAGACUUAUACCGUCUGAUAGUUUGCCAUCACUGUCUUCCUAUGGUGUCUAAAGUUUAUUAUGGGUGAUAUCAGUAUUUGUAUAAAUAGCUAUAAUCAGUUUCUUCUUCUACCUUCCAUCUUCCUCAUUUUCACAAAUAUUUACUGCUACUGCACCAUACAUACAUACAUACAUACAUACAUACAUACAUCAUACAUACAUGUGUGUGUGUGAGCGCGUGCAUGUAUUUCUGUGUGUUUAUUUGCACUAAUGGCCUUGCCAUCCUCAACCAUGGCUUCAGAUCUAUCUCACCUGGUUCUGCAGAAGCCCAAUUUAAAGUCCCCACAUCCUACCGGGGCAUCUCAUAGGAAAAGGUCAGUUUAAAGACUGAACAAGGCUUCACAUGAGCUUUUACUGGAGAGAGCUCUAAUGACUCUUUAGGACACAGAAAUGGCGGCAAAAUAUGUCACGGGAGCAAAGACAGUCUCUG
rnacentral:lncRNA from 1 species